rnacentral:rRNA from 1 species
GACGAACGCUGGCGGCGUGCUUAACACAUGCAAGUCGAACGCUGAAGCCCGCUUGCGGGUGGAUGAGUGGCGAACGGGUGAGUAACACGUGAGUAACCUGCCCUUCACUUUGGGAUAACCUUCGGAAACGGGGGCUAAUACUGGAUAUGACUCAUGGCCGCAUGGUUGUGGGUGGAAAGAUUCUUUGGUGGGGGAUGGGCUCGCGGCCUAUCAGCUUGUUGGUGGGGUGAUGGCCUACCAAGGCGACGACGGGUAGCCGGCCUGAGAGGGCGACCGGCCACACUGGGACUGAGACACGGCCCAGACUCCUACGGGAGGCAGCAGUGGGGAAUAUUGCACAAUGGGCGCAAGCCUGAGUGCAGCGACGCCGCGUGGGGGAU